GCAAGAACACAAGGGCCACAGCUUGCCGUCCUGCUUUGGGACGUGUAGUCCAGUCCCGAGCGGUGCGGCAAGCACGGCCGCCGUCAGCCAUUGCGGCCAAGGCGAGGCGGUUUCGGCUGCGCGACGAGAGGUGGCGGAGGACGUCGGUGACUGAGCACGCCGCAGGGCAGAACUCCUCCCGGUGCAUCUCCUUUUGACAUGAGCAGCGAUGCAGGUGCAGCAUACCUUGGAUCAGUCCAGAAUGACUGAUGAUCCAGAGUGGGGAGUACUAAUGUAGCGUUCAUGAUCUUUGCCACUGCAACCAUAUCACUUAUCUGUAAGAAUAGUUUGGGAGGAACAUGAGUUAGCUGAACUCAGUGACAAGAUCAAGUGUUUGAGCAA